rnacentral:rRNA from 1 species
CGGAACGGGUGAGUAAUGCGUGACCAACCUGCCCCAUGCUCCAGAAUAGCUCUUGGAAACGGGUGGUAAUGCUGGAUGCUCCAACUUGACGCAUGUCUUGUUGGGAAAGUGUUUAGUGGCAUGGGAUGGGGUCGCGUCCUAUCAGCUUGUAGGCGGGGUAAUGGCCCACCUAGGCUUCGACGGGUAGCCGGCCUGAGAGGGCGGACGGCCACAUUGGGACUGAGAUACGGCCCAGACUCCUACGGGAGGCAGCAGAA